rnacentral:rRNA from 1 species
AUUGAACGCUGGCGGCAUGCUUUACACAUGCAAGUCGAACGGUAACAGGGAGCUUGCUCCGCUGACGAGUGGCGAACGGGUGAGUAAUGCGUCGGAACGUGCCGAGUAGUGGGGGAUAACGCAGCGAAAGUUGUGCUAAUACCGCAUACGUACUGAGGUAGAAAGUGGGGGACCUUCGGGCCUCACGCUAUUCGAGCGGCCGACGUCUGAUUAGCUAGCAGGUGAGGUAAAGGCUCACCUAGGCGACGAUCAGUAGCGGGUCUGAGAGGAUGAUCCGCCACACUGGGACUGAGAAACGGCCCAGACUCCUACGGGAGGCAGCAGUGGGGAAUUUUGGACAAUGGGCGAAAGCCUGACCCAGCCAUGCCGCGUGUCUGAAGAAGGCCUUCGGGUUGUAAAGGACUUUUGUCGGGGAGGAAAUCCCCAGCGCUAAUACCGCUGGGGGAUGACAGUACCUGAAGAAUAAGCACCGGCUAACUACGUGCCAGCCGCCGCAGUAAGAC